GUGCCAGCAGCCGCGGUAAUACGUAGGGCGCAAGCGUUAUCCGGAAUUAUUGGGCGUAAAGAGCUCGUAGGCGGUUUGUCGCGUCUGCCGUGAAAGUCCGGGGCUUAACCCCGGAUCUGCGGUGGGUACGGGCAGACUAGAGUGCAGUAGGGGAGACUGGAAUUCCUGGUGUAGCGGUGAAAUGCGCAGAUAUCAGGAGGAACACCGAUGGCGAAGGCAGGUCUCUGGGCUGUAACUGACGCUGAGGAGCGAAAGCAUUGGGGAGCGAACAGGAUUAGAUACCCUGGUAGUCCAUGCCGUAAACGUUGGGCACUAGGUGUGGGGGACAUUCCACGUUUUCCGCGCCGUAGCUAACGCAUUAAGUGCCCCGCCUGGGGAGUACGGCCGCAAGUCUAAAACUCAAAGGAAUUGACGGGGGCCCGCACAAGCGGCCGAGCAUGCGAUUAAUUCGAUGCAACGCGAAAGAACCUUACCAGGCUUGACAUGAACCGGAAUGAUGCAGAGAUGUGUCAGCCACUUGUGCCGGGUUUACAGGUGGUGCAUGGUUGUCGUCAGCUCGUGUCGUGAGAUGUUGGUUAAGUCCCCGCAACGAGCGCAACCCUCGUUCAUGUUGCCAGCGGUUAUGCCGGGGACUCAUGGAGACUGCCGGGGUCACUCGGAGAAGUGGGACGACGUCAAUCAUCAUGCCCUUAUGUCUGGCUCCACGCAUGCUAACAUGACGUACAAGGUGCGAUACUGUGAGGUGAGCUAUCCCAAAAGCCGGCUCAGUUCGAUUGAGUCUGCAUCGACCUCGGAGUGGAGUCGCUAGUAUCGCGAUACGACUCGUCGAUGAAUACGUCAGCUGACAGCGCCGCUAGCGAUCGAUGACUGCAG
rnacentral:rRNA from 1 species